ACGUGUACAAAUUGGAUAUGGCAGAUAUUGUGGAGUAGCCUGGCGAUGGUUAGAAACCGUGGGACACUUGUAAAAAUGAACGAACCCAAACUAAAUUAUGCAUGAGCGCCAAGCUGAGCUUAUAUGGAUCCCAGCUUAGGUUCGGUUUUUAGUGGGGGUUCGGGUUAUGGACAUCGGUCCAAUAACCUGUCUUUUUGCUUUCAGUUUUGUUUUCAAUAUCUGAUCUAUACUGAAUUCAAUUUUGUCAAAGCAUUAAGGUGUCAUCAUCAAUUCACGAAUUGAUGAAUACUCUCUGUAACUCAGUUCUUAUUAUUAUUUUUUUUUAACUCAACAUCUACUUCUCAUUAACCAAUUCAAUGUCUUACAAUUGGUCUAUCGGCCUCGAUACAUGAUCUUAGCCACACAUGCACUAUAGAAUACAACUUAGGGACAAUGGACAUAAACGUAGUAGUCUCCUUUGCUAUCCUAUCCGCCGAUUUAUUUCCACUCCUAGGGUGAUAACCCACCUCCAAAUUGCUACCACCUGCCAAUGAGGUCUGGAUCUGUUGGAUAAUAGGUUUCAUUCUCGGCCAGACUUCCUCCUCUCCUGUGAUCAUCCUCUGAAGCACUAGCGAGUCUGUCUCAAAGACCACAUUCGCAUACCCAAAUCCAUAAUAUUUUAGACUAUAAAUUAGUCUAUUCUCUCAUCCUUAAAAAAAUGAGCAAGAAAUAACAAUCUCAUAUUUGUUUCUUUUUUUCUUUUUCUGUUUACUUUUUAGUUUUGUUUUCUUAAGAGUACAACACAAGAAAAUAUUAGUCAGCUUAUAUUCUGAGGGAGGUGGAAUAAUCGAUGUGUGGUUGUAUCUUAGGAUCUUCGCCUUCUGAAACCUUACCUUGCAUGUGUACAUGGGGGUUAAACCCUAACAAUUAUGAAAGAAAUACAUGAUGGCAAGUUCGGGUUCCACUCUGAAGGACGAGCGUCCUUCGCAUUAAAAAGAAAAGAUAUUUUUGGUCCUACUAUAACUAAGGAUUGCGAGACAUACUCUCUAAAGUGUGACAAAUGCCAACGCCACACACCAAUAAUCAGACUGCCAACGGAGAUUUUAUUAUCC
rnacentral:lncRNA from 1 species